GACGAACGCUGGCGGCGUGCUUAACACAUGCAAGUCGAACGGAAAGGCCCUGCUUUUGUGGGGUGCUCGAGUGGCGAACGGGUGAGUAACACGUGAGUAACCUGCCCUUGACUUUGGGAUAACUUCAUGAAACUUGGGCUAAUACCGGAUAGGAGCUCCUGCUGCAUGGUGGGGGUUGGAAAGUUUCGGCGGUUGGGGAUGGACUCGCGGCUUAUCAGCUUGUUGGUGGGGUAGUGGCUUACCAAGGCUUUGACGGGUAGCCGGCCUGAGAGGGUGACCGGCCACAUUGGGACUGGGAUACGGCCCAGACUCCUACGGGAGGCAGCAGUGGGGAAUAUUGCACAAUGGGCGGAAGCCUGAUGCAGCAACGCCGCGUGCGGGAUGACGGCCUUCGGGUUGUAAACCGCUUUCGCCUGUGACGAAGCGUGAGUGACGGUAAUGGGUAAAGAAGCACCGGCUAACUACGUG
rnacentral:rRNA from 1 species